GGCCUGUUAGUGCAGCGGCCCAGCACUCCUGGUUCUCAGCCAGGUAACGCCGGUUCGAACCCGGCACAGGUCA
rnacentral:tRNA from 1 species